GGUGGGAUGGCUGAGGUAAGUGGUGGGUUGUAGCCCCAUAGACGGAGGUUUAAGUCCUUCUCCCAUCA
rnacentral:tRNA from 1 species